UUGUUUUAUUAAUUGACUAGAAAAAUGUCCGUGCAUUACAACGGGUGAAAAAUUUCUAAUGAUAAUAUAUAUUUUUCAUGCAUAACCAUGUCAAUGGCAAUGUUUGUAUGGAUCGUUUGUAGCUAAAACA
rnacentral:pre_miRNA from 1 species